UUCCAUGAUAUGAUAGUAUACAUUGUAAGACCCCCUUUCGGGGACCCCCACUCUAGUCUCAGGAGAGAAAGCACACCCAAAGAAACACAAGAAUCC
rnacentral:pre_miRNA from 7 species